rnacentral:rRNA from 1 species
UAAUACAUAGGUAACCUGCCCCUGUGCGGGGGGAUAACAGGAGGAAACUCCUGCUAAUACCGCAUAGCCAUGAGCACCGCAUGGAGCUCAUGCCAAAUAUCCUUUAUGGGAUAGCGCAGGGAUGGACCUAUGGCGCAUUAGCUUGUUGGCGGGGCAACGGCCCACCAAGGCAACGAUGCGUAGCCGGCCUGAGAGGGCGGACGGCCACAUUGGGACUGAGACACGGCCCAGACUCCUACGGGAGGCAGCAGUAGGGAAUUUUCGGCAAUGGGGGAAACCCUGACCGAGCAACGCCGCGUGAGCGAAGAAGGCCUUCGGGUCGUAAAGCUCUGUUGUAAAGGAAGAACGUCGCAUGCAGGAAAUGGUGUGCGAGUGACGGUACUUUACCAGAAAGCCACGGCUAACUACGUGCCAGCAGCCGCGGUAAUACGUAGGUGGCGAGCGUUAUCCGGAAUCAUUGGGCGUAAAGAGGGAGCAGGCGGCCGCAAGGGUCUGUGGUGAAAGACCGAAGCUAAACUUCGGUGAGCCAUGGAAACCGGGCGGCUAGAGUGCGGAAGAGGAUCGUGGAAUUCCAUGUGUAGCGGUGAAAUGCGUAGAUAUAUGGAGGAACACCAGUGGCGAAGGCGACGGUCUGGGCCGCAACUGACGCUCAUUCCCGAAAGCGUGGGGAGCAAAUAGGAUUAGAUACCCUAGUAGUCCACGCCGUAAACGAUGGUCACUAAGUGUCGGGGGUCAAACCCCGGGUGCUGCAGUCAACGCAGUAAGUGACCCGCCUGAGUAGUACGUUUCCCAAGAAUGAAACUCAAAGGAAUUGACGGGGGCCCCCCACAAGCGGUGGAGCAUGUGGUUUU